CUCCAGUGCUCUGGGAGAGUUUAUAGUCCUGAGAGUUGAACACUGGAUGACUGACAGCUGUCCUUCAUGACAACAGAAGCCACAGAAAUCCUCCUCUUCAUCGAAAACAUGACUUUGACCUCCGUCCUCAUCUGGACUCUCCUCUGCUGCUGCUUCACAGAGUCCAGAGGUCAGGUCACAGUGACUCAGCCUGGAGCAGUGAGCUCUGCUCUGGGAGGAUCCGUCACCAUCAGCUGUAGGACCAGUCAGCAGGUUUAUGGUGGGAGCGUUUUACACUGGUACCAACAGAGAGAUGGAGAAACUCCUAAACUGCUCAUUUACCUAACUAGCAGUCGAGCAUCAGGGACUCCAGAUCGUUUUUCAGGCAGUGGAUCAAACUCUGACUUCACUCUGACCAUCAGUGGAGUUCAGGCUGAAGAUGCAGCAGUUUACUACUGUCAGAGUUAUCACUAUAUCAACAGUCAGGAUGUGUUCACACAGUGAAAAAGCGUCGUACAA